rnacentral:rRNA from 1 species
UACAGAGGCCUCAAGCGUUGUUCGGAAUUACUGGGCGUAAAGGGAAUGUAGGUGGUUGCGUAAGUCAGAUGUGAAAGCCCUGGGCUUAACCUGGGAACUGCAUUUGAUACUGCGUGACUUGAGUGCGAUAGAGGAGAGCGGAAUUCCUAGUGUAGGAGUGAAAUCCGUAGAUAUUAGGAGGAAUACCGAUGGCGAAGGCAGCUCUCUGGCUCGCAACUGACACUGAGAUUCGAAAGCGUGGGUAGCAAACAGG